rnacentral:rRNA from 1 species
UACGGAGGGUGCAAGCGUUGCUCGGAAUCACUGGGCGUAAAGCGUACGCAGGUGGUUUGUUAAGUCGGGUGUGAAAUCCCGGAGCUCAACUCCGGAACUGCGCCCGAUACUGGCAGACUUGAGUACGGGAGAGGGAAGCGGAAUUCCUGGUGUAGAGGUGAAAUUCGUAGAUAUCAGGAGGAACACCAGUGGCGAAAGCGGCUUCCUGGCCCGAUACUGACACUCAUGUACGAAAGCAUGGGUAGCAAACAGG